rnacentral:tRNA from 1 species
GGCUAUUCUCAUGGAGCAAUUUGUCUUGAAAACAAAUUAAGAGUACUCAAUCUACUCAGUAGCCU